GUGAGCUGUAGUCAUGUGAUGAUCUGUUGGCUGGGUUUGACACAAUGCACCCAAAUUACAAAGGCCCGCCAUCUGCCUAUGAAUUAACGUUUCUGAUAGUACAAUGUGUUGUCCUUGUUUGAUAAGUUAGAAAAGUCGCUUGACAAACAGGGACGAAACAUUGUUUAAUUAUAACCCCCAUAAUAUAACAAAGUGUGCAUCUUUUUAUUUGUAAGGAGAUUAUUUACUGCAAUGUAGGUAUAUAUAGUCUGUCAAGAAAGUGAAGAAACUAAAAAGUGACAUCGUAGUGUCCACUGUCAUUCCUUUCAAAUCAAUCUAAGAAAAAAGGAAUGUCACUAUGAUUUUUAAUUUAUUCACUUUCUUAACGAACUGUACGGGGUGCAAUCAAACCUUCCGGCCGGUAUUUAGCACUCACGCUUUAAUUAUUCGCUUACUAUGUAUAUAGUUAUUAUAGUGUACUGUAUAUGAUGUAGCUUAUUUUGCUUGCGCAUUUUAGUUUAUAGCAUAGUUUCGGAUUUAGAUGAUCUUCACUUUAUGGCCAAUCAUAACAGUUGUUUACAAUGAACAGAUUGAAAAGACUGUUCAUGCUAUUGCAUUUACACACAAGCGGGUUGAGUGCGUGCGAAUGCGAUAGCAUGCUCCUUAUCGGAACUGUAUAUUUGUUAACAUUCAGUUAUGAGUCUUGAUUUCCAUCUGAAUCUAGAUCUGUGUCUGUCACCACAUAGUGUAGUUUGAUGCAUUUAUCUGGUGUUGGUUUUACAGAACUAAUAAUGAUGAAAUAGAGAUGGUAUAUGAAUAUGCGCGAUCCUGGAGACCUACUACGAAACUGUUUUGAGACUCAAACAAUCGACUGAAAAUGUGCGUCCUGCUCUAACAACGUCAUCUCACGUUUGUCAGAGUAGGACCCGGCAUUCUCGUUCGAUUGUUUGAGUCUUAAUACGGUUUCGUAAUAGGCGUACUGAAUGGUAGGAACGAAAUAUUGACAUGACUUAUGUCCGUAAGCGAGGGGUUUUUCGACAGGAAUUUAUCUACUCAACAGAGUUGUUAAUUGGUCAACAAUUUAACACUAGCCAAUCAAAAGCUUUAGUGAAUAGAUAAACUCCUGUC